rnacentral:rRNA from 1 species
UACGGGGGGGGGCAAGCGUUGUUCGGAAUUACUGGGCGUAAAGGGCGCGUAGGCGGCACGGCAAGUCAGGAGUGAAAGCCCUGGGCUCAACCCGGGAACUGCUUUUGAAACUGCCGAGCUAGAGUGCGGAAGGGGCAACUGGAAUUCCCAGUGUAGCGGUGAAAUGCGCAGAUAUCAGGAGGAACACCGGUGGCGAAGGCGGCUAUCUGGCCAUGUACUGACGCUGAGACACGAAAGCGUGGGGAGCAAACAGG